rnacentral:lncRNA from 1 species
CUUGAACGCAGUUCUGUAGGCCCAUAGAGCAUUGUCUAGCUUUUUGGACCAAUCCUUUCGUGAUUGUCCAACAGUGGUUUCGAGGAUCUUCUUGAUUUCCCUGUUAGUUACUUCUACUUGUCCACUUGUUUGAGGAUGAUAUGGAGUACCUACACGAUGAGUGACACCAUAUUUUGCAAGAAGGGAAUCUAAAUAUUUAUUGCAAAAAUGCUUACCUC